GAUUACCCCAAAUGUGGGUAACUCGGUCGUAUAAUUUCUGGUAGUGGGGACUGCGUUCGCGCUAUCCCCGU
rnacentral:snRNA from 10 species